AGUGAACACAGACACAUUGUGUAUUCUAGAGAAGUGUCACAGACUGGCCCAGGACCUGAGACCCAACAAUGGCAGAGUCACUCAGGAGGGCCUCCAACUACAGUUCCAAGCAAGGCAGCACAUGGGUUGCAGAUCAGUCGCCUCCUGAGAACACUCAGCAUUUUGCUCACAGCAACAGACCACUCUGUUUUCACAGGAUUCUGAGCCAGCCAGGGAAACACCGGGAGACACCAAGGUUGGAGCCUCACUCUCAUUCCUGCAGAGCCUGGCUUGUCCCUUUGGGGUCUCCCUGGAAUCAGGUGCUAAGAGGAGAUAGCAGAGCCUGUAGGAGGUGGUCUCCAGCCUACAGGUGCUAAGGGGAGAUAGUGGAACCUGUAGGAGGUGGACCCCAGCGAAAAGAAGUUAAAUUGGGGGAUGCUGUACUUGAUGGAUAUUGGACACCCAACUACCCUCUUUCUCUGUGCUUUCCUGGUUCCCAUGGAAUGGUGGAAAGACUCCCUUCACCACAUGAUCUGCCAGAAAGUGCUGCCUCACCAGAGGUAACAAUGCCAACUGACCACAGGCUGAAACCUCAAAUCACCAGCCAAAUAACCUUUCCUCUUUUUAAUUUUUCUCAAGCAUUUGUCACCAUAUUGGAAAGCAGAUCAGAAACUGUGCUGGUGACUUUGUUAUCUUGGACCAUUUCAGUUAGAUAAUUUUAGUUCUAGGAAAUGCAUUGUGUUUGGUGAUAUGCUCGAGUGUGGUGAAUAUUUAGCUUGUGAAGGAAAUGGUUAUAAACUAUAAAAGCACUGUUUUUCUUUUAUCUUUGGCAAAA